UUAAAGAUAAUAAUCUCUUUAAAAACAUUAAAUUAAGGAUAAGUUUGGCUCUUUAGUAAAAAUGUUGGAAAAGUUGGCACACAAGUUGAAUG
rnacentral:misc_RNA from 2 species